ensembl:snoRNA
CUUUUUUGAUGGGUGACCUCUUGGGCCAUUGUGUCUGGGUCAUAGAAGCCCUAUAAUGGAACUCUCAAGGG